rnacentral:tRNA from 1 species
CAAGGCGUAGCUAAAACAUAAAGCAUUCAGCUUACACCUGAAAGAUAUCUGCCACACACCAGAUCGCCUUGA